rnacentral:rRNA from 1 species
UACAGAGGGUGCGAGCGUUGUCCGGAAUUACUGGGCGUAAAGGGCGCGUAGGCGGCUAUUCAAGUCGGGGGUGAAAGCCCGGGGCUCAACCCCGGAACUGCCCUCGAAACUAGGUAGCUAGAAUCUUGGAGAGGCGAGUGGAAUUCCGAGUGUAGAGGUGAAAUUCGUAGAUAUUCGGAAGAACACCAGUGGCGAAGGCGACUCGCUGGACAAGUAUUGACGCUGAGGUGCGAAAGCGUGGGGAGCAAACAGG